UACGUAGGUGGCGAGCGUUGUCCGGAUUUAUUGGGCGUAAAGCGCGCGCAGGCGGUGCGGUAAGUCUGUCGUGAAAUCUCCCGGCUCAACUGGGAGGGUGCGGUGGAGACUGCCGGACUGGAGGCACUCAGAGGCCGGUGGAAUUCCCGGUGUAGUGGUGAAAUGCGUAGAGAUCGGGAGGAACACCAGUGGCGAAGGCGGCCGGCUGGGGGUGCCCUGACGCUGAGGCGCGAAAGCGUGGGGAGCGAACCGG
rnacentral:rRNA from 1 species